rnacentral:snRNA from 2 species
GUCCCUUUGGGGACAUCCGAUAAAAUUAGAACGAUACAAGGAGAUUAAUAUGACCCUUACGCAAGAAUGACACGCACAAAUCAAGAAACGAUUUAAAUAUAA